rnacentral:rRNA from 1 species
UACGGAGGAUCCAAGCGUUAUCCGGAAUCAUUGGGUUUAAAGGGUCCGUAGGCGGGCCUGUAAGUCAGUGGUGAAAUCUCCCCGCUCAACGGGGAAACUGCCAUUGAUACUGCAGGUCUUGAAUUAUUGGGAAGUAACUAGAAUAUGUAGUGUAGCGGUGAAAUGCUUAGAGAUUACAUGGAAUACCGAUUGCGAAGGCAGGUUACUAUCAAUACAUUGACGCUGAUGGACGAAAGCGUGGGGAGCGAACAGG